rnacentral:SRP_RNA from 1 species
GCCGGGCAUGGUGGCGCAUGCCUGUAGUCCCAGCUACUCGGGAGGCUGAGGCAGAAGGAUUGCUUGAGCCCAGGAGUUUGAGGUUGCUGUGAGCUAGGAUGACGCCACGGCACUCUAGCCCGGGCAACACAGUGAGACUCUGUCUCAAAAAAAAAAAAAUGUCUUGUCCAUUGGGAAUAUAGAUUUUUUUUUUUUUGAGACAGAGUCUCACUGUGUUGCCCGGGCUAGAGUGCCGUGGCGUCAUCCUAGCUCACAGCAACCUCAAACUCCUGGGCUCAAGCAAUCCUUCCACUUCA